UGAGGAAUAUUGGUCAAUGGGCGCAAGCCUGAACCAGCCAUGCCGCGUGCAGGAUGACGGUCCUAUGGAUUGUAAACUGCUUUUGCACAGGAAGAAACACUCCGACGUGUCGGAGCUUGACGGUACUGUGAGAAUAAGGAUCGGCUAACUCCGUGCCGG
rnacentral:rRNA from 1 species